rnacentral:rRNA from 1 species
GUCGAACGGUAGCAGGUCCUUCGGGAUGCUGACGAGUGGCGGACGGGUGAGGAAUGCAUCGGAAUCUGCCUGUUUGUGGGGGAUAACGCAUGGAAACGUGCGCUAAUACCGCAUACGUCCUUUGGUCGGGAGAUCAUUGGAGAAAGUGGGGGACCUUCGGGCCUCACGCGAACAGAUGAGCCGAUGUCGGAUUAGCUAGUUGGUGGGGUAAAGGCCUACCAAGGCGACGAUCCGUAGCUGGUCUGAGAGGACGAUCAGCCACACUGGAACUGAGACACGGUCCAGACUCCUACGGAAGGCAGCAGUGGGGAAUAUUGGACAAUGGGGGCAAGCCUGAUCCAGCCAUGCCGCGUGUGUGAAGAAGGCCCUUGGGUUGUAAAGCACUUCUGUUGGGGAAGAAAAGUUUUCGGUGAAUAGCUGGAGAUCCUGACGGUACCCAAAGAAUAAGCACCGGCUAACUUCGUGCCAGCAGCCGCGGUAAUACGAAGGGUGCAAGCGUUACUCGGAAUCACUGGGCGUAAAGGGUGCGCAGGCGGCCUGCCAAGUCUGAUGUGAAAGCCCUGGGCUCAACCUGGGAACGGCAUUGGAAACUGGUGGGCUGGAGUACGGUAGAGGGUGGUGGAAUUCCUGGUGUAGCAGUGAAAUGCGUAGAGAUCAGGAGGAACAUCCGUGGCGAAGGCGGCCACCUGGACCAGUACUGACGCUGAGGCACGAAAGCGUGGGGAGCAAACAGGAUUAGAUACCCUGGUAGUCCACGCCCUAAACGAUGCGAACUGGAUGUUGGGGGCAUAUUGGCCUUCAGUGUCGAAGCUAACGCGUUAAGUUCGCCGCCU